AACAGCCGCGGUAAUUCCAGCUCCAAUAGCGUAUAUUAAAGUUGCUGCAGUUAAAAAGCUCGCAGUUGAAUUUCGGGACCAUCAUGUCGGUCGUGCCUAGGUACGUACUGGCAUUGUUGGUUUCUACCUUCUGACGAACCAUGAUGUCAUUUAUUUGGUGUCGUGGGAAAUCAGGACUGUUACUUUGAAAAAUUAGAGUGUUUAAAGCAGGCCCACGCUUGAAUACAUUAGCAUGGAAUAAUGAAAUAGGACGUUUGAUUCUAUUUUGUUGGUUUCUAGGAUCGACGUAAUGAUUAAUAGGGAUAGUUGGGGGCAUUAGUAUUCAAUUGUCAGAGGUGAAAUUCUUGGAUUUAUUGAAGACUAACUACUGCGAAAGCAUUUGCCAAGGAUGUAUUCAUUAAUCAAGAACGAAAGUUAGGGGAUCGAAGACGAUCAGAUACCGUCGUAGUCUUAACC
rnacentral:rRNA from 1 species